GAUGAACGCUGGCGGCGUGCCUAACACAUGCAAGUCGAACGAAGCGAUUUAACGGAAGUUUUCGGAUGGAAGUUGAAUUGACUGAGUGGCGGACGGGUGAGUAACGCGUGGGUAACCUGCCUUGUACUGGGGGACAACAGUUAGAAAUGACUGCUAAUACCGCAUAAGCGCACAGUGCUGCAUGGCACAGUGUGAAAAACUCCGGUGGUAUGAGAUGGACCCGCGUCUGAUUAGCUAGUUGGUGGGGUAACGGCCUACCAAGGCGACGAUCAGUAGCCGGCCUGAGAGGGUGAACGGCCACAUUGGGACUGAGACACGGCCCAA
rnacentral:rRNA from 1 species